AUAUUGUAACAGACUUUACGUGUGUGUAUAUGGUUGAGAAAACACAAUUUUACUCAAGCAAUUUCAAUUGUAAUUUAAUUCUUUUAUGGUAUCAGAGUGUCUCAUAGUUAACGCUUCUAACGAUCCUAUAGUUGCUGCUUCAUAUUUUUUUUCUUCCGCUGCGUUUCAUCUUCCAACUCAAGUUAUUUCCAUCAAACUCGAUGGAACUAAUUUCCUUGCCUGGAGUGCUUAAUUGCUUCCUCUGUUACGGAGUUAUGGACUCUUGAGAAUUGUUGAUGGUUCUGAUUUUUAUCCUCCUCAAUUUUCCAGUGAAGAACAUAAAGUCCAAGGUAUUACUAAUUCUACUUAUAUGGCUUGGCAGUAUAAGAACCAAACAAUACUUGGAUGGAUUAUCUCCUCAUUAUCUCUUACAAUGGUUUCCACCAUUUCUGGCCUUGAAACUUCUUGUCUUGUUUGGCAAGCCCUUGGUGCAUGUUUUGUUGCGCCAUCAACUUGUUGAAUUUCUCUUAUCAAGUAAAAGUUGCAAUCUUUACAGCAAGGCUCCUUGUCUUGUAGAAAUUUCUAGACGAAGUCAAAACUCUUGCAGAUGAACUCUCUAUUGUUGGCAAACCUAUUGAUGAUUAUGAUCUAAUAUUAUAUGUUCUUAAUGGUCUCAACUCUUCAUUUCAUUCAUUUAUCACUACGUAUAUGCUCCUCUCCAAAGAGAAAUCCAUGUCAUUUUUAGAUUUUCAUGCAGAACUACUGAACCAUGACCUUAGGUAACAAUUUCAUAGGGCAUCUAAAGGAUCGGGUAGUGCUUCCUCUUAGUUUCGGUAGCCACUACCUCACCUCCCACACCCAUCUUCACCAGCUUCUUUUGACUCUUGUUCUCGAUCUCCAUGCCAAAUCUGCAAGCGAGAGGGACAUUGGGCCUUGGAUUGCUUUAACCACAUGAAUUACUCUUUUCAAGAACGUCAUCCUCCCACUGACUUAGUUGUCAUGGUUGCAGAAGCCAAUAUAACUUAUUUAAAUUAACAUCAAUGGUAUACGGAUAGUGAUGCUAAUAUUCAUGUUACCUCAGAUAUUGCUAAUCUUGCAACUUCUCACCCUUUUGAAGGUGAUGCUUUCGUGGGAGUAGAUAACGGUACAGGACAUCCUGACAAAGAACAUGCUCCUAUCGGGAUCAAGUGAUAAUGGAUUGUAUCCGAUCAACCUUCAUCAACUAUCUGCUUCACCAUAUGAUGCUCUCAUAAUUACUAUUGGCGUCAAGGCUCCUACUUCUAUCUAGCAUUGCUACCCGGGCCAUCCUUUCCCAGAAACCCUUCGUCGUGUCAUUUCUAAUUUUUCUCUUCCA